UUGAAAGGGAAACGAUUGAAGUCCGGCGUACCGACGAGAAAUCAGCUUUUCGAAUGUGCAUUCGAGGGCGUAUGAGAUCUUCAUUGUUUGCAAUAUGUAUGUUUCUUUGGUGUACUUUUUCGUAUGGUAGGUCAACGUCGGUUUUGGUCGCCAUAAAAUGAUCGGAGGAAUGUAGCUUCGGCCUCGGUUGAAGUGUUAUAGGCUUUUGGUAAAUGUGGUGAUUAAGACCGAGGAUUGCAACGAAUACCUUUUAGGCUAUCUGUCUGAUCUCUGAAAGUUACUUAGGUGCCGAAAGCUGGCUUACGGUCAUUUAAGUUGACGGUCAAUAGGUUAGAACGUGAUAAUUCGUUAAGGAUGUUGACGUA
rnacentral:rRNA from 1 species